rnacentral:misc_RNA from 1 species
UCGAAGCCCGAAACGGACGACCGCGAACUCGUUGCAACCGCCGUGCCGCGGGGCGGGCGCGCGGAGGGGCCGAACCCUCCUCGCCGUCCUCCCCCGGCGCGCCCCGUCCGUGCGGGCGCGAUAGCGCCUGCUCGGGCGAACAACCAACCCCGGCGCGGAAAGCGCCAAGGAAAACUAAAACGAUUGCCCGGCCCCCGAACGCCCCGUGCGCGGAGAGCGCGAGGGGGUGCGGCGGCAUCCGUCGUAACCGAAACGACUCUCGGCAACGGAUAUCUCGGCUCUCGCAUCGAUGAAGAACGUAGCGAAAUGCGAUACUUGGUGUGAAUUGCAGAAUCCCGCGAACCAUCGAGUCUUUGAACGCAAGUUGCGCCCGAAGCCAUUAGGCCGAGGGCACGUCUGCCUGGGCGUCACGCAUCGCGUCGCCGCCCCGCUCGUGCUGGGCGGCGGAUAUUGGCCCCCCGUGCCCGCAUGGUGCGGCCGGCCUAAAAGCGAGUCCUCGGCGAGGGCGUCACGACUAGUGGUGGUUGAAUUACUCGACUCGGGUGCUUGUCGUGCCGUGCUCCCCCGCCGUGUCGCGGACUGCCUCGACCCCUCGUGCGCGCGCCUCUUGCGCGAGCCUCGACCGCGAC